rnacentral:misc_RNA from 1 species
AACUGAUACUACCUGCGGGAACCUGCGGAAGGAUCAUUACCGAGUUCUCGCCCCUCGCGGGGUAGACCUCCCACCCACUGUGAUCACUACCGUCGUUGCUUUGGCGGGCCGCUGGGCCCAGCCCACCGCCGGCCCCGGCUGGCGCGUGCCCGCCAGAGGCCCUACAAACGCUGGAUAUCAGUGCCGUCUGAGUACACAUGUUAAUCGUUAAAACUUUUAACAACGGAUCUCUAGAUCGGA